rfam:Echinococcus granulosus EG_S00388, whole genome shotgun sequence.
GCCAGCAACUACACCACGUAGAGGCCUAUGGUGUCCGUCACGCCGUCCAGGUUGUGCUACGUCGGGCCGGGUUAGUACAGGUAUUGGUGACGGAUGCGGAACGCUCGGGGUUGCUGGCC